AUUGAACGCUGGCGGCAUGCCUUACACAUGCAAGUCGAACGGUAACGCGGGGCAACCUGGCGACGAGUGGCGAACGGGUGAGUAAUGUAUCGGAACGUGCCCAGUUGUGGGGGAUAACUGCUCGAAAGAGCAGCUAAUACCGCAUACGACCUGAGGGUGAAAGCGGGGGAUCGCAAGACCUCGCGCAAUUGGAGCGGCCGAUAUCAGAUUAGGUAGUUGGUGGGGUAAAGGCCCACCAAGCCAACGAUCUGUAGCUGGUCUGAGAGGACGACCAGCCACACUGGGACUGAGACACGGCCCAGACUCCUACGGGAGGCAGCAGUGGGGAAUUUUGGACAAUGGACGCAAGUCUGAUCCAGCCAUGCCGCGUGCGGGAAGAAGGCCUUCGGGUUGUAAACCGCUUUUGUCAGGGAAGAAACGGUCUGGGUUAAUACCUCGGGCUAAUGACGGUACCUGGAGAAUAAGCACCGGCUAACUACGUGCCAGCAGCCGCCGUAACAC
rnacentral:rRNA from 1 species